GCUCGGGUGGCCCAAGUGGUUAGGGCGCCCGCUUCGGAUUUGGGAGGUCAUGGAUUCGAACUGCGGCCGAGCC